AACACAUGCAAGUCNAGGGGCAGCGAGGGGAGUGCUUGCACUCCCUGUCGGCGACCGGCGCACGGGUGAGAGUAACACGUAUGCAAUCUACCCCGGUUCAGGGGGAUAAUCGGGNUGGAAACGCYGUCUAAUACCGCGUAGAUAUGUUGGAGGCAUCUUCGGCAUAAGAAAGACCGCGAGGUCGGAACGGGAUGAGCAUGCGGCGCAUUAGGAAGUUGGCGGUGUAACGGACCACCAAUCCGACGAUGCGUAGGGGUUCUGAGAGGAAGGUCCCCCACACUGGUACUGAGACACGGACCAGACUCCUACGGGAGGCANCAGUGAGGAAUAUUGGUCAAUGGGCGAGAGCCUGAACCAGCCAAGUCGCGUGAGGGAAGACGGUACUAAGUAUUGUAAACCUCUUUUGUCAGGGAGCAAAGGCACCUACGUGUAGGUGAUUGAGCGUACCUGAAGAAAAAGCAUCGGCUAACUCCGUGCCAGCAGCCGCGGUAAUACGGAGGAUGCGAGCGUUAUCCGGAUUUAUUGGGUUUAAAGGGUGCNCAGGCGGCACGUCAAGUCAGCGGUAAAAUGUCGGGGCUCAACCUNGNNGGGCCGUUGAAACUGGCGAGCUAGAGUUGGAAGAGAAGUAUGCGGAAUUCGUGGUGUAGCGGUGAAAUGCAUAGAUAU
rnacentral:rRNA from 1 species